rnacentral:rRNA from 1 species
UACGGGGGGAGCAAGCGUUGUUCGGAUUUACUGGGCGUAAAGGGCGAGUAGGCGGUCAGCACAAGUCAGUUGUGAAAUCUCCGGGCUUAACUCGGAAAGGUCAACUGAUACUGUGCGACUAGGGUGCAGAAGGGGCAACUGGAAUUCUCGGUGUAGCGGUGAAAUGCGUAGAUAUCGAGAGGAACACCUGCGGCGAAGGCGGGUUGCUGGGCUGACACUGACGCUGAGGCGCGAAAGCCAGGGGAGCGAACGGG